UGGGGAAUUUUGGACAAUGGGCGCAAGCCUGAUCCAGCCAUGCCGCGUGCGGGAAGAAGGCCUUCGGGUUGUAAACCGCUUUUGUCAGGGAAGAAAUCUUCUGAGUUAAUACCUCGGGAGGAUGACGGUACCUGAAGAAUAAGCACCGGCUAACUACGUGCCAGCAGCCGCGGUAAUACGUAGGGUGCAAGCGUUAAUCGGAAUUACUGGGCGUAAAGCGUGCGCAGGCGGUUUUGUAAGACAGAGGUGAAAUCCCCGGGCUCAACCUGGGAACUGCCUUUGUGACUGCAAGGCUUGAGUGCGGCAGAGGGGGGAUGGAAUUCCGCGUGUAGCAGUGAAAUGCGUAGAUAUGCGGAGGAACACCGAUGGCGAAGGCAAUCCCCUGGGCCUGCACUGACGCUCAUGCACGAAAGCGUGGGGAGCAAAACAGGAUUAGAUCCCUGGUAGUCCACGCCCUAAAACGAUGUCAACUGGUUGUUGGGAAGGUUCCUUCUCAGUAACGUAGCUAACGCGUGAAGUUGACCGCCUGGGGAGUACGGCCGC
rnacentral:rRNA from 1 species